rnacentral:lncRNA from 1 species
GACAACACAACCUUUGUGCAUUUAUUUGGUAUGCCUUUCCCCUGGCCGGUCGCUGCCCUUCCGGACGCCUUUAUAAUCCAGUCCUCGAUUCGUUCUUCUCCACGGAGCGUUUGUGCAUUUCCCCUCUAGCGCCAGCUCUAUUCUAGUCGUCGAGUCCUUUCGCCGAGCCCUUGGGAUGUCUGGAUCGUUGUCCUCUGUCAACCAGGUAUGCUGUUCUUCGUUCUUCCUUGUCUCGAGGAGCUGCACUCGGCCAUCCGGCGGCCUGAUUUUACUCUUCCUAUCCUUAGAGGGCGCCGGACCGCGAGCUGGAACGGGUCGUCGAAAUCCUCCAUUUGGACGGAGACUCUCCCUGGCUAAUAGAGAGUUGCUUCUUGCCAACCGUGAUCGGAUUGGAGACUGCCUUCCUGCCGGUGUGUCUUCCGUUGAGGCGUUCAGGUCGAUGUAUCCUCAAUCCUUUCCUUCAUCAAUUCCCAGGGCUCAGGUCGACAGGAAGCGGGACCCUCCCAUAAGGUCAACCGGCCCUCCCGCGCUGCCUCUGAUGCCUCGUCGGCCGUCGUGGGGCUAGACCUUCUUGACGCUCAAGUGGCCGCCGUCGAGGAGUCGCGCCUCAGACUCUUGUUGAUGCUCGGGCGUACCCAGAGGGAAAUCGACGAGCUUAAGGCUAGAGCCAGACGCAAGUGAUGUAACUCUUGGCAUUCUUUUUCUUGUGGGUCGUCCCGCCCGUGCUCGCCGACGUACCAGGCUGUGGCCGGUUUCCCCUCAUCGGCAAUAUGUGCUUUUAUGUUUCUGUAUUUUUGUUGCAUAUUUUUGUUCUAAAGGCGAUGCCCUAGCAUCGGCUGUUGUUAGCUCGAAUCAUAGUAUCAUCGGCUGUAACUGUCAUGUUGAUCUUUCAAGCGUCCACCCAUAUACUUGGGUGGUAUCUCUUCAAGUAUUUCCCGUUCAGGGCUCUUGUAAAUUCCUCCUCUUCGAGGGUUUCUAGUAUGUAUGUGUUCCACGAGGCACGUCGGCACACUCGGUACGGG